CGGUUUCUGCGGGAACAGAAAUGCCAUCGGAAACAAAGUUCUGUCGUUUUCCACGAGACGUUCAUUGUCUUAAAUGCUGUCCUCUUCUUUCAAAUGGUUGAUUUUAUUUCUGACAUUAGUUUAGGCUUCCUGGUCGUAGUUGUAAGCAGCAUUGAGAGGACUUGACUCAGAUGAAAAUGAAAACAUUAAUGUAACUAAAUGAAGCGUGGAGCUGGAAUCUUUUGGCCAGUACUUGGAGUCAAGUCCCGCUGUGUUUAAAUGAGCUUGUUGCUAGAUAAUGAACUUGUAUCUGGAUUUUCUUCAGAAUAUAUCCUAUUAAACCACAGUGAAGGCAGGAUUGCAACUGAACAUCAAGAAGGCAAAAGUCAUUACUACUGAGGAACUACACAACUUUAAGACUGAUGGCGAAGAAGUCGAAAUUGUUCAAGGUUUUCUGUUCCUUGAGUCAAUCAUAAGCCAAACAUGACUGCAACCAAGAAAUCAGAAGGUGACUGAGACUGGGAAAGGUGCCCAUACAACAAAGAAAAUAUAAAGGUAUUUAAAUGUAAGGAAGCACUGCUGAUGACCAAAAUAAAGAUACCUUGUGAGGCUGAGACAGUUCUAAGACAACUGUAACUGGCACAUAAUCACCCAGAAGGCUUCAUUUGAAGGUGUGGAGAAACAAACAUUUCACUAGAUUAGAGACCACCACUCCCAACAACUACAUCAUGUUGGCUCUCAGGGAUGCUUGAAAGUACAGAAGAGCUGAAAUGAAAAUGCAACGUGGAUUUGGAGAAACCUGUUCUUGGCCUGGAGCGACAGCCCCCAGAGUGGAACGUUGACCCCUGGAACCAGAUAAAUUGCUGUGGACCUGACAUUUGUGGCUUCCAUUCUAUCACUGGGCCUUUAGGCAUCUUCCCAUUGUGAACAAUGGACAUUCUUAUUAAUUUUAGGAAAUGCUACAUACUAAUCCUCAUGUUGCAGCUCUUUAUAAAUGUUCGUGAGUGAACUCUUGCCCUGUAUUUUGUUCGGAAUAUGGGAUAAAAUUAGCAUCCAGAGAUGCAUACUGCAGGCACACAUACACCAAACUCACUCCUGUGUACCACCCUUCUCCGUUCAGCAAAGAGAGGAAGAGUUAAAAAUACUCCCUUACUAUACCAUGAUGAACUUGGAAAGGCAGCAUUUGAGGGCCGCUGUUAGCUCCCUCCCUCAAUACAACCCAAGGCAUCCUAGUUCCUCUCUACAGUUUGCUGAGCUUGUCUCCUGCUACCGACUUUCUUGGAUGUGUUACCCAUGUCAUUUAACAUGUUAUUAUUUUAUUAAAAAGACUUAGCAUUUAGGAUCUAGGAAGCCAAAGGUCACAUAGCUUGGGCAGUUGGUUAAGAUGCUCCUGCAUCACCUACUCAAGACCUCUGCCACAUCUAUCAGUCAAGCUUUCAGCAAGAGAGGGAAGGCCUGGAGUUUGACUGAGGAAGCCACUUAAUUUGUUUGCAAGUAUGUGAUAGAUCCAGCUUGGAGGAAAAUGCAUAUUAUAAUUUUCCUUUUAGGUGAUAUUAUAAAGGAGGAGUGUGACGAAUGUACUUAUCCUGCAUUCAGAUUACAGGGUGGACCCGCCCCUGAAGGAGUUAAGCCCUGGCCAGCCCUGAUUGGCCAGAGAAAAAAACGCACAUAGUAUAAAUUCUGUCAGCGCUAGUGCUGAAGGGUUCUUUCUUUUUAGUCUUCGGACUUUGUGGCUCUGUAGGAGCUGGUGUGCCCUGGGUACUUUUG